rnacentral:rRNA from 1 species
UACGUAGGGGGCUAGCGUUGUCCGGAAUCAUUGGGCGUAAAGAGCGUGUAGGCGGCCCGGUAAGUCCGCUGUGAAAGUCGGGGGCUCAACCCUCGAAUGCCGGUGGAUACUGUCGGGCUAGAGUGCGGAAGAGGCGAGUGGAAUUCCUGGUGUAGCGGUGAAAUGCGCAGAUAUCAGGAGGAACACCAAUUGCGAAGGCAGCUCGCUGGGACGUAACUGACACUGAGACGCGAAAGCGUGGGGAGCAAACAGG